UCAGUUAUAGUUUGUUUGAUGGUAUCUACUACUCGGAUAAUCGUAGUAAUUCUAGAGCUAAUACGUGCAACAAACCCCGACUUUUGGAAGGGAUGCAUUUAUUAGAUAAAAGGUCAACACAGGCUCUGCCUGUUGCUUUGGUGAUUCAUGAUAACUCGUCGGAUCGCACGGCCUUUGGUGACCUUUCAAAAAACUUGUGA
rfam:Glycine soja cultivar W05 scaffold398_13, whole genome shotgun sequence.